rnacentral:rRNA from 1 species
GUUGUAUGGUUAAGUGACUAAGCGUACACGGUGGAUGCCUUGGCAGUUGGAGGCGAUGAAGGACGUAUUAACUUGCGAUAAGCCUAGUCAAGCUAGUAAAAAGCGCUUGAGACUAGGAUUUCCGAAUGGGGAAACCCACCUGCUUGCAGGUAUCGUUAACUGAAUACAUAGGUUAACGAGGCGAACGCGGAGAACUGAAACAUCUAAGUACCCGUAGGAAAAGAAAUCAACCGAGAUUCCGAUAGUAGCGGCGAGCGAAAUCGGA